rnacentral:lncRNA from 1 species
UCGCCCGGCGGUGGUGGCGACAUCCGGUGGCGGGACGCGGUGGCGACGGAGGUUAGGCGGCGAGCGCGAAUACGAACGGCGGAGCCGGAGCGUAGGCACAGACACCGAGGUGAAGUCAGUCGCGUCACGCCACGCCCGGUGUAACGUUUGGCAACCGCUCCCGAAUAUUCGAGCUCCGUCAUCCGCGCGACGUUCGUCGCGGCCAAGAACGCGCACGGCAUCGGGAAUCGACUCCUGCGGGCGGAAGAGGUAUUUAAACGCGCGGGGCACCCCCUGGUCCCCUCGGUCUUACCUCGCGAGUCGUGUCGUGAGAAGGUACAUACGCGCGCGCGUGAGAGUCGCGAGGGACGAAGCGAGGAAGAGCCUGCCGGCUGGAGUUUGCGAGAGGAAAAAAGAAAGAGAGGAAGCAGCGCGAGUCUAGUUUUCGGACGUGCAUCCGAUUAAUCCGAGAGAGAGAGAGAGCCGUGAAAAGGAUUUUGCAAAGAGGACCUCGCUGCCUGAGGUCGAUCCGGAUCAGCCGGAGUCGUUCGCCGCUUCCUCGCAAAAUUGUUUCAGAGCUUUCAAUUGGUGGUAACGCCCCGUGUGCAAAUUUGGACAUCAUGAGAAGCGUACCUACCAGAAAAUUUGAUGAUGCUCAGCAUGGGACAUCUUCACUUCUCGAAGAUCACUCGCCAGCGUUCGCCGACCGUGAACCGAAACACGCUUGUCCCGGUCCGAAAAGUCGAGUCUCUUAGAUUUGUCCCAUUGCAAGAGAUCUAACGUUACGUCUGCGAAAUGUCAGUCGAGAUACAUGCACUGCAAUUCACCGUCCACUGUUGCUUCCGCGAUACAAGAUUGCGGAAGGUCCGAUUGUCGAGUCCUCGGGUAUCCCGGAAACGAGAUAAUCGAGGAAUAUUUGCCCGAUGAUCGCGAGAACUCGGCUCGGCGAGAAGCAGGAACGGCUUCCCAGUACGACCGCGCCGAGGUUUUCUCCCUUGGUAACAGCGCAAGGACGGAUCCUCCUCCCGUCAUGAUUGAUUCGUGCGCGAUACGAUAUGGCCUCCGAAAACGUCCUAUUGACAGUGUUAAUAAAGGACAAGAGACCUAUAUUUGCUCGUAUCAAUGGCACGUAAUUCUUUAUUCGUCGAUUACGUAAUCUAUACACGCGAAAUUAAUGGUACAUUUUAACAUUUAAUGGUAUUUCACUAGUCUCUCUUUUCGCUCGAAUAAAAUGAAAUUACGAAGGCGAUAGUAUACAGGAAAUGUAUGUAAGGAGAUAAGUUGAUGCUGGCGAAUCGCCGUUUCGGCAUGGUCUUGCAAAAUGUCACGCAAAUCCGCAAAGUUGCACAAUCGGCGUUUACGGAUAUCCUUCCCCCGCAUUCGCAAAUCAUCGGACACGCGAUAACGUGCUGAAACGAUCUUCGAUCUACUGCGAGGUGCGAUGCAAACCUUUAAGACGGACGGUCAGCCCCCAUGAGCAUUGGUUCAACGAUCGUUCCGCGAGCGAACCUGAAUACUUGCGCGCGUGCCACCUACAUAAUUCAUAUCGGUAUAAAGCAGCCGUUUUGACGAUGAGGGGAAAAAGGAAGGAAGGAAGAAACAGAGGAAAUACGGACAAUGUCCCUGACAGCAAUCAGUAAAGCGAAUUCUAGAUUGAUAGAGAAAUCCGUAAAUAACAAGAAUUAGGAGGAACUCGUAAUAUUUUGUUUUGUCUAUCAAUAUAAUAGCAAUGACAAUGAGAUAAGUCCCUGUUGACAUCGAACAUAUCUUGAAAUUAUUUCUUACAUUGUACGCGAAAUCUCUCCUGGCGAUUAUAACUCAGCUGAAUCGAAGAAUUCACGUCUCAGCGAUGGACGAUUCGAUUGCGCGAGUCGAAAGCUCGAUAUCGUGAAGGAACAGUUGAUCACAACGUGCUGCGAACGGUAUUCCCUUUUUUUCUCGCGGUUGCGCGAGACCGAUGUGUGCAACCUGAUAUUUCCGUGUAAUUUAUAUCGCCGUCGACUGCAAAGGGAGGAGGCCCCGUAAGUAAUGUAAAAGGGUGGUCUGUUUUCAGCAUCUAGGUAACUUGAAACGGAAUGUACUUGAGAAUAUGUGUACAAGACAAGUAUGCAAAUAUUUCUAAUUAGAUAAGAGGUAUCAUUAAACACAGAGAUCUAUAAAUUAUUGUACUGACGUGUGUCGUGUGUACAAAAUUAUUGCGUAUAUUGCACACGUACAUGUCGAGAAAUCCCAUUGAAAAAUGAGAGACUUGUGAAGCUACGUUAAUUUUUUAUUAUUUUUAUUAUUUUAUUGCUUUUCUGAAACUGUUGGCAGGCGAUUUCGAUUCUUGGACUGACAUUUUGGAACUGAUUAAUUCAAGUGGCGUGCGGUAUUAUCGAUUAUUCAAUGGAGGAAUGGCAUCGUUAAUGGUGCCAUCGCGCGAUACUCACUUAGGUCUCGUUAGCGAGUUCGCACAACUGAAUUAUAAUUGCCGAGGAAAAUUUCGUAUUGCGAAUGCAUGUAAGAAGUUGUUUUAAAAUUCACUCGGCAUCGAUGGAUUUUUCGAUCUUGCAUUGUUGAAGCUAUAUAUCGAUGGACAUAAAUAUAUCGCAAGAAAAUAUUACAGGUUUGGCAUUUCCUGUUAUUUAUGAAUUCUUCGAUCAAUUUGGAGCUAACUUCAUCGAAAAAUAUAGUAUAAAGGUUUCUCCUUUUAGAUAGGAAAGUACCGUUUCAUUUGCGUAAUGUCCGCAAUCUAUAGCUAUUGUAAUAGGUCUGCUUAUAGGGUCGUAGUUAUUCUUUAUCAUAUGAGAUUAUCGCAACUUAUUACGUGCGCAAGUCCGGCUCAUUGUAGAGCCGCAAAGUGACUAUCGCACUAUCUUGACAAGAGCUGUUCAUUCAUGAUUCUUAUCCAUAGUUUCGUUAUCAAUGUACAUAGAUGGGCACCAUAAGCAACCUUAGAGGGCUGCCGCCGUCGUCGCUGCAUUGAAUAGCCGCAGGAAAUAGAGAGAGAAA